rnacentral:lncRNA from 1 species
GCUGCUUAUGACAUCAUGUGACUGAGGGGACACAGACUGAUUUUAGAAGCCUAAAAUUAUCACUCAAUCUGCUCACCAAAAUUCUGAAACAGCCAAGACGGCCCCAAGCCCAAGGAAAGGCUUCAACAACACUGUUCUGUGAAAAUGAUGAUGGCAAUGAAUUAUGCAUUGUUCUCUAAAGUCUGGUACCACGGCCUCAAAUCACAUACUAAAAACAUACUCAAGAUCAACAUAAGCUGGGCAUGCAGGACACACCUGCUAAUCUGUUUUCAAUUAAAGUUUUCCCAUCACCAUGAUGGAUAAAGCUGGUCCUUCGGAAAUCCAACCUCCACAGAGUUGAAAGUGAUACACCUAAAGUUUAAAUCUGACCAAAUCACUCUCCUAUUUAAAAAUGUUCAGGCUGGGUGCAGUGGCUCAUGCCUAUAAUCCCAGCACUUCGGGAGGCUGAGAUGGGAGGAUCCCUUGAGCCCAGGAGCUGAACACCAGCCUAAGCAACAUAAGAAGACUCUAUCACUAAAAUAAAUAAAUAAAUAAAUAAGCAAGCUGGGCAUGGUGGUGGUAGUCCUAGAUACUCGGGAGGCUGAGGUGGGAGGAUUGCUUCAGCCCAGGAGGUC